rnacentral:rRNA from 1 species
CGGAGGGGCUAGCGUUGUUCGGAAUUACUGGGCGUAAAGCGCACGUAGGCGGACCUGCAAGUUGGGGGUGGAAAUCCCGGGGCUCAACCCCGGAACUGCCUUCAAAACUGCUGGUCUGGAGGUCGAGAGAGGUGAGUGGAAUUCCGAGUGUAGAGGUGAAAUUCGUAGAUAUUCGGAGGAACACCAGUGGCGAAGGCGGCUCACUGGCUCGAUACUGACGCUGAGGUGCGAAAGCGUGGGGAGCAAACAGGAUU